rnacentral:lncRNA from 1 species
GUUACAAAAGGAAUUUUUGUCCUUCCAGUGCCUUGAAGUCACAACCUCAGUCCCCACAGAUGUUCAGUUUGGAUCAUCUUUGUCAUGAAGAAGUGCUGGAGGGAGUUGUAAGGAUUUUUUUUUGUGAAGAAAUCUGACUCAUUGGUACCAAAUGGCCUGAAUUUUUUCUAUCUGGUCAUGCAUCUGUCUGUAGAAAAAGCUUGCAGGAUGCAUCUUAAGGGAUGGACCUUAUAGAUGCCUUUCUUUUCAUUGCCAUGGAAAUUAUAACUAUGAGCAGUACCAUUGGGGGAAAAAAAAAGGGGUUUAUUUCUCAAACUUCAGCUUCCAGCCCUUGUCAGAUCCUCUCUGGGCCCUUGUUCCCUGGAGCUGACAUGUUGAUGCUUUCAGUUGUAUCUGGUACUGGAGGCUGGUACUACAACAAUGAUUUGGGAGAUCUUGAGGAGUGGCAAGAAUGGGCAAGUGCCUUGAAAGUCUUCAGCAAGGAAGGACUGAUGCAGGAAGCAGUAAUUUCAAUGGACACUGAUUUGGAGCAGCAGUUUUUAAGGAGUUGUGUAUGUUGUUUCCACUUAUGCUAAGCCAGUUUAUAUUUUGUCCUGACUCUUUUACUUUCCUUCUAAAAUUGUACCAUCUUUCAACUUUGGCCUCACAAAGCUGUCGACUAAAUAUGUGGGGGAAUUCUAAUAAAAUAUAUUUGAAUUAGUAUCA